UACGGGAGGCAGCAGUGGGGAAUAUUGCACAAUGGGGGAAACCCUGAUGCAGCCAUGCCGCGUGUGUGAAGAAGGCCUUCGGGUUGUAAAGCACUUUCAGUAGGGAGGAAGGUAGUGUAGUUAACACCUGCACUAUUUGACGUUACCUACAGAAGAAGCACCGGCUAACUCCGUGCCAGCAGCCGCGGUAAUACGGAGGGUGCGAGCGUUAAUCGGAAUUACUGGGCGUAAAGCGCAUGCAGGCGGCCUGUUAAGUCAGAUGUGAAAGCCCCGGGGCUUAACCUCGGAAUUGCAUUUGAAACUGGCAGGCUAGAGUCUUGUAGAGGGGGUAGAAUUUCAGGUGUAGCGGUGAAAUGCGUAGAGAUCUGAAGGAAUACCAGUGGCGAAGGCGGCCCCCUGGACAAAGACUGACGCUCAGAUGCGAAAGCGUGGGGAGCAAACAGGAUUAGAUACCCUGGUAG
rnacentral:rRNA from 1 species